rnacentral:lncRNA from 1 species
AUUCUAUAAGGUUGAAUAAAAAUUCGAUUGACCAUUUGAUAUAAUUGCUAUGCUUAGUGUGUGACUCGUUGGUUUUUUAGGGUUAGGAUUAAAAAAGAUCAGCCCACAUAGUAUGAACUAAAAACUAUAGAACUAAUAACCAACCCAUCACUUAGCAUUAUCUGGAUCUAAAGAACCAGUCAAGAUAUGAUAUAUAGGUCAUUCUUUGUAGCAACUGAAAUCUUUUGCAUAAACAAAAAAGGAAAUCUGAUUCUAAGUUGUAAAGCAAAAUAGACAAAAAAGAUGUGGAAUAGAAAUCAAUCCUCACGAGCUUGAAGAACAAAGUUGAAUGUUACUACGGACCAGUUCCUAAAGUCAGUAUUUUAUUGUCCUUAGUUGAGUUGUAACUUUGUGAUUGUACUUAUUGUAUCUCCU